CUGCGCAGUCGGGCAGCCGCUGGACAAGCCUUCUGAGGCGAGUCGAGAGGAAAGUCCGGUCUUCAUCGGGCAGCAUGCCGGUUAACGGCCGGGGAUGUGCGCUCAAAGCGCAUGUUACGGAUAGUGCCACAGAAAAUAUACCGCUUGUCUCCGGCAACGGGGGCGAGUAAGGGUGAAAAGGUGCGGUAAGAGCGCACCGCGGGACGAGCAAUCGUGCCUGGCAGGGAAAACCCCAUGUGAAGCAAGACCAAAUAGGGGAGGAGGAGCGGCCCGCUCCGUUACAACUUCCGGGUAGGUCGCAGGAGCUGCUCAGUAAUGGGCGGCCUAGAGGAAUGGUUGCCACCGUCUCGUUUGAGUUUCGCCUCGCUGAGAGGCGAAGGCUCGUGCUUGACGGACACAGAAACCGGCUUACAGACUGCGCAGGUUU
rnacentral:RNase_P_RNA from 1 species